GACGAACGCUGGCGGCGUGCUUAACACAUGCAAGUCGAACGGAAAGGCCCCUUUGGGGGUCCUCGAGUGGCGAACGGGUGCGUAACACGUGAGUAACCUGCCCUUGACUUCGGGAUAACUUCAGGAAACUGGGGCUAAUACCGGAUAGGAAUCCUUGCUGCAUGGUGGGGGUUGGAAAGCUUCGGCGGUUUUGGAUGGACUCGCGGCUUAUCAGCUUGUUGGUGGGGUAGUGGCUUACCAAGGCUUUGACGGGUAGCCGGCCUGAGAGGGCGACCGGCCACAUUGGGACUGAGAGACGGCCCAGACUCCUACGGGAGGCAGCAGUGGGGAAUAUUGAACAAUGGGCGGAAGCCUGAUGCAGCAACGCCGCGUGCGGGAUGACGGCCUUCGGGUUGUAAACCGCUUUCAGCAGGGGCGAAGCUUGUGGUGACGGUACCUGCAGAAGAAGCACCGGCUAACUACGUG
rnacentral:rRNA from 1 species